AGUGAACGCUGGCGGCGUGCUUAACACAUGCAAGUCGAACGAGAACGGGAUAUAGCUUGCUAUAUUUGUCAGCUAAGUGGCGCACGGGUGAGUAAUGUAUAGGUAAUAUGCCUCUUACUAAGGGAUAACAAUUGGAAACGAUUGCUAAUACCUUAUAUGACUUUAAGACUAAAGUCUGCAAGGGAACGAUUUAUUGGUAAGAGAUUAGCCUGUAUUGUAUCAGCUAGUUGGUGAGGUAAUGGCUCACCAAGGCUAUGACGUAUAACUGGUUUGAGAGGAUGAUCAGUCACACUGGAACUGAGACACGUUCCAGACUCCUACGGGAGGCAGCAGUGGGGAAUAUUGCACAAUGGACGAAAGUCUGAUGCAGCAACGCCGCGUGGAGGAUGACACAUUUCGGUGCGUAAACUCCUUUUAUAUAGGAAGAUAAUGACGGUACUAUAUGAAUAAGCACCGGCUAACUCCGUGCCAGCCGCCGCUGUAA
rnacentral:rRNA from 1 species